rnacentral:rRNA from 1 species
GAUGAACGCUAGCGGCAGGCUUAAUACAUGCAAGUCGAGGGGCAGCAUGAUUGUAGCAAUACAAUUGAUGGCGACCGGCAAACGGGUGCGGAACACGUACACAACCUUCCAAUAAGUGGGGAAUAGCCCAGAGAAAUUUGGAUUAAUACCCCGUAACAUAACGAUGUGGCAUCACAUUGUUAUCAUAGAUUUUUCGCUUAUUGAUGGGUGUGCGGCUGAUUAGAUAGUUGGCGGGGUAACGGCCAACCAAGUCUACGAUCAGUAGCUGAUGUGAGAGCAUGAUCAGCCACACGGGCACUGAGACACGGGCCCGACUCCUACGGGAGGCAGCAGUAAGGAAUAUUGGACAAUGGACGCAAGUCUGAUCCAGCCAUGCCGCGUGAAGGAUUAAGGUCCUCUGGAUUGUAAACUUCUUUUAUAAGGGACGAAAAAAGGCUUUUCUAAGUCGUCUGACGGUACCUUAUGAAUAAGCACCGGCUAACUCCGUGCCAGCAGCCGCCGUAAAAC